rnacentral:tRNA from 1 species
UCCAGGGUAGCCUAGCGGACCAGGCAUCUGCCCGGUAAGCGGAACGUUGUGGGUUCGAUUCCCGCCUCUGGAC